CGGAGGUGGCUACAACCUACUCACUUGACCUUCACCUUGUAUCAUCCACUUGCCGGAACAACGGCAACUCCUACGGCAAAGGAAUCACCGACUGCACCCCCAACUACGGAAUGUUGCAGCGCAUGACGUGCCAGGUGACGGUUGUGUACCGGCCGUCGAGCAGUCGCAAAUAUAGCCUGGCCUCCGACAACUGUGGACAGAUGCAACACGUCUAGGCUUGAGUCCAAAGUGGUAAACCAGUCGACCAAAUAUAGUUGUUCUCGGUGUCUCUCCAACCAUCUUGUUUUAAACUGUUUUCAUGCCA